rnacentral:rRNA from 1 species
GACGAACGCUGGCGGCGUGCCUAAUACAUGCAAGUAGAACGCUGAAGAGAGGAGCUUGCUCUUCUUGGAUGAGUUGCGAACGGGUGAGUAACGCGUAGGUAACCUGCCUUGUAGCGGGGGAUAACUAUUGGAAACGAUAGCUAAUACCGCAUAACAUUGGUUGACACAUGUCAUUUAUUUGAAAGGGGCAAUUGCUCCACUACAAGAUGGACUUGCGUUGUAUUAGCUAGUAGGUGAGGUAACGGCUCACCUAGGCGACGAUACAUAGCCGACCUGAGAGGGUGAUCGGCCACACUGGGACUGAGACACGGCCCAGACUCCUACGGGAGGCAGCAGUAGGGAAUCUUCGGCAAUGGGGGCAACCCUGACCGAGCAACGCCGCGUGAGUGAAGAAGGGUUUCGGAUCGUAAAGCUCUGUUGUAAGUCAAGAACGAGUGUGAGAGUGGAAAGUUCACACUGUGACGGUAGCUGACCAGAAAGGGACGGCUAACUACGUG